UAAUCAUUCAUUCUUGAAUUUUUAUAUUAAGCAUUUCAUAUUACUUUAUUGACUUAACUUUUAUGCUCUUCUUCAUUUUGACAGUAAAGAAUGACCAGGCAACACUCUUUGAAAAUUGGAGACCAUUUGCAGCUGCUCUGUGUUGAGGAAAGUGAAUAAUAGGGUGCCCUCAAGGAAUUUCAAAGACCCCUGCAGAAGGAGGACAGAGAACAAUGUUGAUCCAAACUACAAAGGGUGGAUCACUUCUAGAGGAUCCUAGAAGAGCUCACUGCCAGACUACAGCUUCUCCCAUGAUUGUUUGGGUAGCCAAUUCAUCUGCUUAUGUCAGAUGCUUACAGAAUUCUUGUGGUUUACUUUACUCUUCACCAGAAAAAGAUGUGGAUGCCUUGAAAUUAGUAUCUGCACCGAUGCCAUCCUCAGUGAGAACACAAAGCAAUAGAGGCACAGUGAGAUUAAGUAACUUGCCCAAUGUGACACAGCAAAAAGUGGCAGAGACACAAUUUUAA
rnacentral:lncRNA from 13 species